rnacentral:rRNA from 1 species
UACGGGGGGGGGCAAGCGUUGUUCGGAAUUACUGGGCGUAAAGGGCUCGUAGGCGGCCAACUAAGUCGGACGUGAAAUCCCUCGGCUUAACCGGGGAACUGCGUCCGAUACUGGACGGCUCGAGUGUGGGAGAGGGAUGCGGAAUUCCAGGUGUAGCGGUGAAAUGCGUAGAUAUCUGGAGGAACACCGGUGGCGAAGGCGGCAUCCUG